rnacentral:rRNA from 1 species
UGGGGAAUAUUGCACAAUGGGGGAAACCCUGAUGCAGCGACGCCGCGUGGAGGAAGAAGGUCUUCGGAUUGUAAACUCCUGUUGUUGGGGAAAAUAAGGAUGGUACCCAACAAGGAAGUGACGGCUAACUACGUGCCAGCAGCCGCGGUAAAACGUAGGUCACAAGCGUUGUCCGGAAUUACUGGGUGUAAAGGGAGCGCAGGCGGGUAUGCAAGUUGGAAGUGAAAUACAUGGGCUCAACCCAUGAACUGCUUUCAAAACUGUGUAUCUUGAGUAGUGCAGAGGUAGGCGGAAUUCCCGGUGUAGCGGUGGAAUGCGUAGAUAUCGGGAGGAACACCAGUGGCGAAGGCGGCCUACUGGGGCACCAACUGACGCUGAGGCUCGAAAGUGUGGGUAGCAAACAGGAUUAGAUACCCUGU